rnacentral:rRNA from 1 species
AUGAACCUGUACUACAGUGGCGAUGCAUUUCUGCCUACAAUUAUUGCCGUGAUCUACAACUUCAAGCCUUUGUUUGCUGCUACAUACGGAAAUACUACUUUUAGCAUAGGAAAUUUUGAGUCGAGAUUUCUACCAGCUCUGAAAGUCAAUUUCAGGUAUGACUCAAGAGUUUUCCUUCUUCAUAUCUUAGCAACUACAGAGGUCUUGGAAUGGAGGGUUUCUCUAAUGAUGAUCUACAAGGUCUACAUGAGAAAUUGCUUUUCGAGAUUGUCACUUGCAAGGACAAUGAAAUUCAGCUGCCAUUUGUAA